rnacentral:misc_RNA from 1 species
AGCAGCCGCGGUAAUUCCAGCUCCAAUAGCGUAUAUUAAAGUUGCUGCAGUUAAAAAGCUCGUAGUUGAAUUUCGGGACUAAUAUGUCGGUCGUGCCUCGGUACGUACUGGCAUUGUUGGUUUCUCCCUUCUGACGAACCAUGAUGUCAUUUAUUUGGUGUCGUGGGAAAUCAGGACUGUUACUUUGAAAAAAUUAGAGUGUUUAAAGCAGGCUCACGCUUGAAUACAUUAGCAUGGAAUAAUGAAAUAGGACGUUUGAUCCUAUUUUGUUGGUUUCUAGGAUCGACGUAAUGAUUAAUAGGGAUAGUUGGGGGCGAUUAGUAUUCAAUUGUCAGAGGUGAAAUUCUUGGAUUUAUUGAAGACUAACUACUGCGAAAGCAUUUGCCAAGGAUGUUUUCAUUAAUCAAGAACGAAAGUUAGGGGAUCGAAGACGAUCAGAUACCGUCGUAGUCUUAACCAUAAACUAUGCCGACUAGGGAUCGGAUGAUGUUAAUUUUUUAAUGACUCAUUCGGCGCCUUA